CAAUGCACUGCGGUUUUGUAAGUACGGUACGAAGCUGCUUUAAAAAGGCGGCGGUUUGUUAGCUCUGGAAACAAGAGCCAAGCGAAGCUGUGAGCGCUGUAGAUAAAUGAGCACUUAAUGGAAUAAAGUUCUUUGCAGCUUAUGUAACGUAUAGUACAGUGGAAAUAGACUUAUGUCUGUUAACGUUCAGAUGGAAUCGUUGCUUCACAAACAACACAAGGAAUUAGUCAAACGUCAUACUGUCUUAGAAGAGGAAAUGUCACGAAUUUGUGAAAACGACAGAAGUUUGGAAAAAGUUCCAGAUUCAUCAACAGCACAUGAACGUAACAUCGAAAUAUGGAGGAGAUGCACAAAUGCUUACUCUCAAAUUAAUAAGAAUAAAGCUUUCAUCGAGUUAAGUAACCACAAAAGCUUAAAAGAAAAAUAUGAAAAGAUGGUGCGCUCACAACAAACAAAGAAACCUGUUUGAUGAAUGAUCAUCAUGUUGCAAGGGCUUACUGAGAUUACCCAUACUGCAAUAUGUUUCGUUUUACUUUACCAAUCAAAGUAAAAAUGGUCAAUUUAAGUUGGCAAUACAUGUCACUGCAUUUGUACUACUUCAUAGUUUCAUACACUGGGUUGUUUUGUCUGAUUUUAAUGUGUGGAACAUUUAUGCUAGCCAUAAAGAAUACUCCAAAAAUACACAAUUAUUGAGUUGGCAUGAGUUAAAACAUACAAAGAAAACAUUAAGGAGGUGUUUGGGAGAAACAUCAAGAGAAUGGGCUGAAGAUGUGACUGUAAUAGAUCCCCAAAAAUCAUAUUUUUUACAUUUGUGAUGAAAAUGGCAAA